GUUCUAACAUAAAUUGGAAUUUGUUUCUUCCAGGCCAGAAAUACCGAGAGAAGUCUUAACUCCAUCUGGUGAAAAAAUUGAAGCAGUAGCAGUAAUAGCCCGGAUUUGGGAAUCCAGAAUUGGAAGCUCUAAGAUCUUCCUAGUUCUUAUGUUCCAUAGAUGAGAGAAAGAGAAGUCCCCAGCUCGAGUUCACGUUGCAUACAUGGGACAUCCAGCGUGCCCCAGAUCAGCGAAGAUCCAGAGAGUUUGAGUUUCUUUUGAUCAGCAAGGAUGAUUCUGAAAGGAAGGAGCCCACAGAAGCCUGAUUGCUGCACUUGUGUUUAAGGGAACUCUUGCACAUGGAAAAUAAGCCUGUCAGGAGAGGCCAGGUUAUUCUGGAGGAAUAAAUAAGCCCCAAUCUCAGCGGCUUACCACCACAAAGUUUAUUUCUACCCGGUGUCGAGGCCACUCUUGAGAGCAGCUGUGCCCUGCGCCGGACGCUGGUGCAGGCUGAUCUGAUCUUGUCAUUUCAACAGAAAUGUCUGUCUGACAGCAUCAACGGCAGUCUCCACCGUCCCUGCAGCACGGGAAGCGGAAGCGCGAGCCUGGCCUGAAAGGGAGGUGUAUUUGGCUAGAACGGAUCCCAUGGCCCUGCUCAACUUUGAAGGGCUGGAAGUAGAGUCUUCUGGGUGCCCCAGAGGAGAGGAGAACACAGGGCCAGGAAACCUGGACUACCUGGUAACAGAUUCUGCAGAGAUUUCCGGGUGACUGAGUGGAGAGUGCAGACUCCAGGAGGUGAGUUAUCUGUGGAUUAGACUGGACUUCAUGAUAAGAGAGCAGUUUUCCCCAUGGAAGACUAGAGGCAUAGCAUCAAGAAUUGCAGCUCAGGUUGAGUGAAGACUGGGCAGAAAGGGCAGAUGUUUAGAGCUAGAAGAUUGUUUAACCCUUGCAGGUAAGAUGGUGGAGAACUUGGGGGAGAAUGAGUAACACUAGCCUGUUGCACGGAGAAAGGGUCUUUUCAAUUAUUCAUUUGCAACAUUUUGCAGGAGGGGGACAAUGUGGUGGUAGUGGUUAGGUGGAGAGGAAGAAGGGAUUUAUAGAGGGUGUGAGAACAGCUGGACAGUGAAGAGAAAGGGAAUAAUAGUAAAAGGUGUGGUCAGAGUUGUGUGUAGGGGCCAGUAGCUCAUGCGUAGCCUGGUCUAGAUAGCAUGAGUGAUGUGAAAAAUUGGGAUAUUUAUUAGAGCUUUUUUUUUUAACCUUUAAGUAGAUACCAGUUUAUUGAGAUAGAAUUCACAUACUAUAAAAUGCACCAUUUUAAAGUGUAUAACUCAGUGUUUUUUAGCAUGUUUUAAGGGUUGUGAAACCAGAAUUCUUUCACCAG
rnacentral:lncRNA from 1 species